UUUAUGGAGAGUUUGAUCCUGGCUCAGGAUGAACGCUGGCGGCGUGCCUAAUACAUGCAAGUCGAGCGAACGGACGAGAAGCUUGCUUCUCUGAUGUUAGCGGCGGACGGGUGAGUAACACGUGGAUAACCUACCUAUAAGACUGGGAUAACUUCGGGAAACCGUAGCUAAUACCGGAUAAUAUUUUGAACCGCAUGGUUCAAAAGUGAAAGACGGUCUUGCUGUCACUUAUAGAUGGAUCCGCGCUGCAUUAGCUAGUUGGUAAGGUAACGGCUUACCAAGGCAACGAUGCAUAGCCGACCUGAGAGGGUGAUCGGCCACACUGGAACUGAGACACGGUCCAGACUCCUACGGGAGGCAGCAGUAGGGAAUCUUCCGCAAUGGGCGAAAGCCUGACGGAGCAACACCGCGUGAGUGAUGAAGGUCUUCGGAUCGUAAAACUCUGUUAUUAGGGAAGAACAUAUGUGUAAGUAACUGUGCACAUCUUGACGGUACCUAAUCAGAAAGCCACGGCUAACUACGUGCCAGCAGCCGCGGUAAUACGUAGGUGGCAAGCGUUAUCCGGAAUUAUUGGGCGUAAAGCGCGCGUAGGCGGUUUUUUAAGUCUGAUGUGAAAGCCCACGGCUCAACCGUGGAGGGUCAUUGGAAACUGGAAAACUUGAGUGCAGAAGAGGAAAGUGGAAUUCCAUGUGUAGCGGUGAAAUGCGCAGAGAUAUGGAGGAACACCAGUGGCGAAGGCGACUUUCUGGUCUGUAACUGACGCUGAUGUGCGAAAGCGUGGGGAUCAAACAGGAUUAGAUACCCUGGUAGUCCACGCCGUAAACGAUGAGUGCUAAGUGUUAGGGGGUUUCCGCCCCUUAGUGCUGCAGCUAACGCAUUAAGCACUCCGCCUGGGGAGUACGACCGCAAGGUUGAAACUCAAAGGAAUUGACGGGGACCCGCACAAGCGGUGGAGCAUGUGGUUUAAUUCGAAGCAACGCGAAGAACCUUACCAAAUCUUGACAUCCUUUGACAACUCUAGAGAUAGAGCCUUCCCCUUCGGGGGACAAAGUGACAGGUGGUGCAUGGUUGUCGUCAGCUCGUGUCGUGAGAUGUUGGGUUAAGUCCCGCAACGAGCGCAACCCUUAAGCUUAGUUGCCAUCAUUAAGUUGGGCACUCUAAGUUGACUGCCGGUGACAAACCGGAGGAAGGUGGGGAUGACGUCAAAUCAUCAUGCCCCUUAUGAUUUGGGCUACACACGUGCUACAAUGGACAAUACAAAGGGCAGCGAAACCGCGAGGUCAAGCAAAUCCCAUAAAGUUGUUCUCAGUUCGGAUUGUAGUCUGCAACUCGACUACAUGAAGCUGGAAUCGCUAGUAAUCGUAGAUCAGCAUGCUACGGUGAAUACGUUCCCGGGUCUUGUACACACCGCCCGUCACACCACGAGAGUUUGUAACACCCGAAGCCGGUGGAGUAACCUUUUAGGAGCUAGCCGUCGAAGGUGGGACAAAUGAUUGGGGUGAAGUCGUAACAAGGUAGCCGUAUCGGAAGGUGCGGCUGGAUCACCUCCUUUCU
rnacentral:rRNA from 1 species